rnacentral:rRNA from 1 species
AGUGAGUGACGUCACACUGCCAAGAAAAGCUUCUAGUUAGAAUCAGACCGCCCGUACCGCAAACCGACACAGGUAGUCGGGUCGAGAAGACCAAGGUGAGCGAGAGAACUCUCGUUAAGGAACUCGGCAAAAUGACCCCGUAACUUCGGGAGAAGGGGUGCUGAUCGCAAGAUCAGCCGCAGUGAAUAGGCCCAGGCGACUGUUUAUCAAAAACACAGGUUUCUGCAAAAUCGUAAGAUGAAGUAUAGGGGCUGACGCCUGCCCGGUGCUGGAAGGUUAAGAGGAUGGGUUAGCGCAAGCGAAGCUCAGAAUUGAAGCCCCAGUAAACGGCGGCCGUAACAAUAACGGUCCUAAGGUAGCGAAAUUCCUUGUUGGGUAAGUUCCGACCCGCACGAAAGGCGUAACGAUCUGGGCACUGUCUCAACGAGAGACUCGGUGAAAUUAUAAUACCCGUGAAGAUGCGGGUUACCCGCGACAGGACGGAAAGACCCCAUGGAGCUUUACUGUAGCUUGAUAUUGGGUGUUUGUACAACUUGUACAGGAUAGGUAGGAGCCGUAGAAGUCGGGACGCUAGUUUCGACGGAGGCAUCGGUGGGAUACUACCCUCGUUGUAUGAACACUCUAACCCACGCCGGCAAUCACGGCGGGAGACAGUGUCAGGUGGGCAGUUUGACUGGGGCGGUCGCCUCCUAAAAGGUAACGGAGGCGCCCAAAGGUUCCCUCAGAAUGGUUGGAAAUCAUUCGCAGAGUGUAAAGGCAUAAGGGAGCUUGACUGCGAGACCUACAAGUCGAGCAGGGACGAAAGUCGGGCUUAGUGAUCCGGUGGUUCCGCAUGGAAGGGCCAUCGCUCAACGGAUAAAAGCUACCCUGGGGAUAACAGGCUUAUCUCCCCCAAGAGUCCACAUCGACGGGGAGGUUUGGCACCUCGAUGUCGGCUCAUCGCAUCCUGGGGCUGUAGUCGGUCCCAAGGGUUGGGCUGUUCGCCCAUUAAAGCGGUACGCGAGCUGGGUUCAGAACGUCGUGAGACAGUUCGGUCCCUAUCCGUCGCGGGCGCAGGAAAUUUGAGAGGAUCUGUCCUUAGUACGGGAGGACCGGGAUGGACAUACCGCUGGUGUACCAGUUGUUCUGCCAAGGGCAUCGCUGGGUAGCUAUGUAUGGAUGAGAUAAACGCUGAAAGCAUCUAAGUGCGAAACUCACCUCGAGAUAAGAUUUCCCACUCCUUUAUGGAGUUAAGACCCCUGAGAGAUGAUCAGGUAGAUAGGAUGGAAGUGGAAGUGCGGCGACGCAUGGAGCGGACCAUUACUAAUCGGUCGAGGACUUAACCU